AGGGGAGGAAGGAAGAAGGAAGGAAGGAAGGAAGCAAAGGAUGGGGCGAGGACGCGCGUCCCAGGAGCAGAGCUGGGGGUCCGUACGGAGGAACUUCAGAGGCUGGAAGCACGCUUGAAAAAGAAAGGGGGCCUGGGCUUUGCACCAGCUUCAGGAUUGCGUACUUGUUUCCUCAUCCGUGAAAUGGGAGCAGCUGAAUGUGUCUCCUCGAGUUUUCGAGAAAAAUGAGGGUCUCACUUUGUUGCUCAGGCUGAGCUCGAGCUCCUGGCCUCAAGUGAUCCUCCUGCUUUUGGCCUCCCAAACUGAUGGGAUUACAACGUGGAGCCACCGUGUUAAACUCUUAGAUUUGACUGCUACAAAGGUAUAAAUGUGGAACUCCAUAUAUCAGUGGGUUCUGCCCCACUUCUUCCUCCCAGGAAUUCUCCAUCCCAGCCUGCUGCUCCUGUCUUGCACCGGUAACAGUUUCCAACUACAGUAUUUGCUUAACUGUUUCUCCCCACCCCCACCAGACAUUCUUUAUACUUGGUUUAAGUGCUGCUGGGGAUAGGGCGGGGGUGGCUGUGGGAGUUGCAGAUAAGGACCCUCCCUUUAGGGAGUUUAAAGUGGUAUGGUGGCUCACACUUGGAAUCUCAGCACUUAAGGAGAUAGAGGAAAGAGGAUUGCUUGAGCCCAGGAGUUCAAGACCUGCCUGGGCAACAUAGUGAGACUCUGUUCUCCACAGAGGGGAAAAAAAGAAAAGACAAAAAAAUAAAGUGGUAUGGAGCCAA
ensembl:lncRNA RBPMS-AS1 RBPMS antisense RNA 1